rnacentral:rRNA from 1 species
CCUACGGGAGGCAGCAGUGGGGAAUAUUACACAAUGGGGGAAACCCUGAUGCAGCAACGCCGCGUGAAGGAAGACGGUUUUCGGAUUGUAAACUUCUGUUCUUAGUGAAGAAUAAUGACGGUAGCUAAGGAGCAAGCCACGGCUAACUACGUGCCAGCAGCCGCGGUCAUACGUAGGUGGCAAGCGUUGUCCGGAAUUACUGGGUGUAAAGGGAGCGCAGGCGGGAAGCCAAGUCAGCUGGGAAAACUACGGGCUCAACGUGGGAACAGCCUGUGAAACUGGCAAACUGGAGUGUGUGAGAGGAUAGUGGAAUGCCAGGUGUAGGAGUGAAAUCCGUAGAUAUCUGGAGGAACAUCAGUGGCGAAGGCGACGAUCUGGCACAUAACUGACGCUGAGGAGCGAAGGCGUGGGUAGCGAACAGGAUUAGAUACCCUGGUAGUC